UCUAAAUGUAGUUGUUAUACAGACUAUGAUGGUGAAUGUUCUAGAAAAUAGAGGUUGGAAGUAAUGUGGAGGUCAGCUGUGAUAACACGGUAAUGAUUAAAUGUAUUGGCAAUGUGUUAGUACUGUGAUAUGAUGCUGAUAGUAAGGGGGGGCCAUGAUCUGCACAGCUGUGGCACAUUCUUUGCUGUCUUCCUACCAAUUCCGUCUCCUAAAGACUGGGACAGAUAGCAGUUGGCCCCUUGGCUCUGCGAAGUGAGGGGGUGGAGAGACAAAAAUUAGGCUCACUUCUCAACUGGUUUGGCUUUUCUUUUAUAUGGUAGACAGAAUAUCUCUGUGAGAUGUAAGAAUUUUGGAAAAGACAUAGUCACAGCAUGAAAGCAGGUGAAUGAAGUGGCCCUUUUGAAAAAAGUUGUACAUGUCAAGAAAUAGAUCAGUGGGUUCCUAACACCAGCAUGAAGCCAUCUCCAUCAUAAGAAGAAAUCUUCCUCAGUAUAUCCUGACUCUUGGCAAGAUCUCACUGAUGAGGAAGCAAUAAGUGAGAAAGAGACCCUUAUGCCUAGCCCUUGUUAAAAGGUUUAAAUGUUGUGAUAGUUGGCAAUAUGACUUAUGCUUGUGGUACAAACACCGUGAAACUGCCUCAAGCAGCUGUGGGGAAUGUUUAAAAAUGCAUUCAGAGAGAGUAGCUAGAAAAAAGAAAUGUUGUGCAUCCAUUUUUAAUAGAGAGAAAAACUGCAAGGAAAGCCAAGAAAAUAGGAAAGCAAACAAGUGUUGAAGUGUAUUGUUCAUUCACAGUGAACUGAUGCAUUUUCUAUUGAAAAAAGUUCAUAUUUAAGUCCUAAACAACUGAGUAAAUUUGUUCAUCUUCAUGAAAUUAAAAGUAGAGUUUUAACCUGCAAGAUCUAAUUAUAGGAAGAAUUAUUUUCUAGAACUCCGGUCUACAUGGCUAACAAGAGAAACGCUGUUGAGGAGUCCGGUGAUCUCUUUACUAGUUCAUAUGAGAAAAGUGAGCAGGGUAAAAGUAUUUUAAACUCAGAAUGAUAGGUAAGUCAAAGAGUAACCAACAGACCUGUGAGGGAGUGAUGGAGAGGGACAGUGAGCAAAAGGUAUAGGGUGAUGUGACAGGAAGGGAUGACAAAAUCAAGAAUAUGAAGCUGAAACAGGCUCACCUCCAGCACUCCAGCAAGAAAGCGCCCACAAAUACACCAUUAUGGAGAGAUCCCCCAAACCUUUUGUAGGAGCACAACAUAUUAAGGCGCCUCUCCUAAGUGCCUAUACUUUAAUACUGAUACACACGCAGUGUGGCAUUAAA
rnacentral:lncRNA from 1 species